CCUACGGGGGGCAGCAGUGGGGGAUAUUGCACAAUGGGGGAAACCCUGAUGCAGCGACGCCGCGUGGGCGAAGAAGUAUUUCGGUAUGUAAAGCCCUAUCAGCAGGGAAGAAGAAAUGACGGUACCUUAGUAAGAAGCACAGGCUAAAUACGUGCCAGCAGCCGCGGAAAUACGUAGGUGCAAGGGUUAUCCGGAUUUACUGGGUGGAAAGGGUGCGGAGGCGGCACCGCAAGCCUGAUGUGAAAGCCCGCGGCCCAACCUCGGGACUGCAUUGGGAACUACCGGGCUGGAGUGCAGGAGAGGUAGGCGGAAUGCCUAGUGUAGCGGUGAAAUGCGUAGAUAUUAGGAGGAACACCAGUGGCGAAGGCGGCCUACUGGACGGUGACUGACGCUGAGGCUCGAAAGCGUGGGGAGCAAACAGGAUUAGAUACCCCAGUAGUC
rnacentral:rRNA from 1 species